rnacentral:rRNA from 1 species
GAGUUUGAUCCUGGCUCAGAAUGAACGCUGGCGGCAGGCCUAACACAUGCAAGUCGAGCGCACCCUUCGGGGCGAGCGGCGGACGGGUUAGUAACGCGUGGGAACAUACCCAAUGAUACGGAAUAGCCUCGGGAAACUGAGAGUAAUACCGUAUGUGCCCUUCGGGGGAAAGAUUUAUCGCCAUUGGAUUGGCCCGCGUUAGAUUAGAUAGUUGGUGGGGUAAUGGCCUACCAAGUCUACGAUCUAUAGCUGGUUUUAGAGGAUGAUCAGCAACACUGGGACUGAGACACGGCCCAGACUCCUACGGGAGGCAGCAGUGGGGAAUCUUAGACAAUGGGCGCAAGCCUGAUCUAGCCAUGCCGCGUGUGUGAUGAAGGCCUUAGGGUCGUAAAGCACUUUCGCCAGAGAUGAUAAUGACAGUAUCUGGUAAAGAAACCCCGGCUAACUCCGUGCCAGCAGCCGCGGUAAUAAGGGCGA